rnacentral:lncRNA from 1 species
GCAGCCCUGGAGUCUCAGGAUCAAGAAAUCAAAGCUGGAAAUUCCCUGGUGGUCCAGUGUUUAGAACUCCAUGCUUCUACUGCAGGGGGCACGUGUUCAAUCCCUGGUCAGGGAUGUAAGAUCCUGCACAAAGCAGUAAAAAGAGAAAGAAAGAAAGAAAUCUGAGCAAGGCUCUGUCUGAUCACACCUCUCCCCACACGGACAGUGACAAAGUUUCCCUCCUAUCGUCUGUCCUAGACCUUGAAGGCCCUUUCUGGCAAGGAAGCAAGGAAGCCCUUAUUUGUGGAGAGCAGAGCCCUUUAUAAAAGGCCUUUCACUGAGGACAGCAGGAUUUAAUCAGAUUGUCCUGGGUGGGGUAGUGGCGAUAAGGCUAAUAAACAAGCCACAGAGCAUGUUCAAGUCAUGAAACUCUCCCCGGGAGGGCACUGGAAGGCCUCCCAGAAGAGGAGGGCUUCUUUAGCCUUUUAGGGGGAAACUGGUUGUUCCUCUUCUACUAAAGAAUCCUCCACUCUUCAAAGAGGAUGAGGAGAGAGGAGGGACUGGGACGUAGCUUCCAGUCGGAGCUCUGGCCUCCGCUGUGUGACCUGUGCUUGGGCUUUCUGUAAAAGUCGCGUGAGGAAAACCUACCUGGGAGUUCAAAGCACCAAGUUCUGGAAUCCUAGUGCUGGAAAGGAGGCUGAAGAUUAUCCAGGCCCAUUUUCUCAUUUCAUGUUGAGGAAACUGAGACCCAGAGAAGCCAUAAGCCAUAUGGGAUCUUAGCUCCCUGACCAGGGAUCAAGCCUGCACCCGCUGUGUUAGAAGGUGAAGUCUUAACCGCCAGGAUCUACCAGGGAAGUCCCUUGACGACAUUUUAGAGAAUCUCUAUUUAGGUUAGCUAACAUCAGUGUCUACUGUUGCCAACAGAACUCUGACUCACACCCACCUCAACCUUGCUUUUUAUUCAAUCACUUAAUCUAAACUACUGUAAAGUAAUGAUCUAUAAAGUAAGAUAAUAAUAAUGUGUAAUAAAAAUAUUAUGUAAUAAAUGUGAAGAAAGAUA